AGGACGAACGCUGGCGGCGUGCUUCACACAUGCAAGUCGAACGGGGCUCAUUCGGUGGUAACACCGGAGAAGGCCUAGUGGCGAACGGGUGCGUAACACGUGAAGAACCUGCCCCGAAGACUGGGAUAACAGCGGGAAACCGCUGCUAAUACCGGAUGACCCCACCAGGCCGCAUGGCCAGGUGAGGAAAUGGGCCUACCGCUUCGGGAGGGCUUCGCGGCCUAUCAGCUUGUUGGUGAGGUAACGGCUCACCAAGGCGACGACGGGUA
rnacentral:rRNA from 1 species